GACGAACGCUGGCGGCGUGCCUAAUACAUGCAAGUCGAACGCAGUUGCGAACGGGUGAGUAACGCGUUGGUAACUGCCUCAUAGCGGGGGUAAACUAUUGGAAACGUUAGCUAAUACCGCAUACUGUGAGAUGGACGUGCGUUUUAUUAGCUAGUUGGUGCGGGAAAGGCUCACCACGGCGACGAUACAUAGCCGACCUGCGAGGGUGGUCGGUCAAGCUGGGACUGGGACACGGCCCAGACUCCUACGGGAGGGAGCAGGGGGAACUUUGCGGCAAUGGACGGAAGUGUGACCGAGCAACGCCGCGGGAGUGAAGAAGGUGUUGGGAGCGUGAAGAUCAGUUGUGAAAGAAGCGGUAACUAACAAGAAAGGGACGGCUAACUACGUGCCAGCAGCCGCGGUAAUAC
rnacentral:rRNA from 1 species